rnacentral:rRNA from 1 species
GAUGAACGCUGGCGGCGUGCCUAAUACAUGCAAGUCGAGCGAACAGACGAGGAGCUUGCUCCUCUGACGUUAGCGGCGGACGGGUGAGUAACACGUGGAUAACCUACCUAUAAGACUGGGAUAACUUCGGGAAACCGGAGCUAAUACCGGAUAAUAUAUUGAACCGCAUGGUUCAAUAGUGAAAGACGGUUUUGCUGUCACUUAUAGAUGGAUCCGCGCCGCAUUAGCUAGUUGGUAAGGUAACGGCUUACCAAGGCAACGAUGCGUAGCCGACCUGAGAGGGUGAUCGGCCACACGGGAACUGAGACACGGUCCAGACUCCUACGGGAGGCAGCAGUAGGGAAUCUUCCGCAAUGGGCGAAAGCCUGACGGAGCAACGCCGCGUGAGUGAUGAAGGUCUUCGGAUCGUAAAACUCUGUUAUUAGGGAAGAACAAAUGUGUAAGUAACUGUGCACGUCUUGACGGUACCUAAUAAGAAAGCCACGGCUAACUACGUG